ACAAGACAGUGGCUGAGGAGAAAGGAAAUGUGGCUCUUUUAUUUGGAACUAUACCAGCAUGGUGUAGGUGUUUGUUCAUACAACUGCAAUAUGGAGUUAAAUGCAAAUCUGGUCCGUCCCCGUCGUCCCGUUCUCCCCCCCCCCCCCCCCCCGCCCGCAAAGGAUGCCAUGUUUCUUUCAUGUCUCUGGGGAGAAGUGUCUUAUUAGAGACCUCUCCCCACAAAUCAGGCAGAGGAUGGUGAGGAGCAAAGUUGUGACUGCGGUCAUGCAAUGAAAAUGGCUGGAGGGAAUGUGACCCCAGACGACUCCCAACCACAGUGAGGGUGGCUGAGAAAACUAAGCGCAAUAGCAGGUUGAUACCACCCUCCCCCGGCUCAUCACAUGGCACGGGGUACCACAUCAUAUGGCACCUUCUGGGGUCCUAGGCUUGUCCUGAAACACUGCCAUCACACCAUGGUCAUGACCUUCAGGGCUGCUGGCUGAAACCUUCGGAUCUUCUUCUUCAGGGCCUUGGAGGCCUUGAUGCGGCACAGUUUGGGCACAGGGGGCAAGGGUGGCCUGGUGUUUCCUGGGGCCCGUGAGGGCUGCUGGGGGGGCACCCGAGGCCAGGCCCACCCCCCUUGCCCAGCCUCUGCACUGCCUAUUGCCAGGCGACGGCGGCUGCCCCGGAAACACCCUUCUGAAUCGUUGCUGCUGGACUCGUCCCCAAAGCGGUUGGCAGUGUGGUCACUCGCCUCCUCGUCCUCGCUGGUCUCGGCAAUGGUGGAGUGGUAGAGUGAGGUGCAGUCUGCAGAGUGCUCCGAGGGGUCCGACUCACACCUCGCACAGGCAUCCUGACGGGCAAGUGUGGGCCUACUCUGGGCCCUGGGACCACUUCCUCUCUUGGCUGGGGACCUAGGGAGCCCCAUGCUGGGCCCAGGUUGGCUGACUGAACCGGCUUUGGCUGAGAUCUCCAUGGUGGACUGCCACCUGCGCUGCUUCCGCCUGGCUGCUGAGCUGAGGAGAGCUGCCUCCAUUGGGAAGAACGCUUGGGGUGACGUUGGGUAACUUUCCCUCUGGGCCACCACUACGGGGACAAGGAAGGGCACGGGGUAGAGGGUGGACUCAGAGCAGGAGCGUCCAGGAGGCUCCCGGGCCAGUGUGGGCCUCCUGCUGAGACCUCCCUGAUGGGGCCUGGAGGGGUCCCGCUCUGUGACCCGCUGCCUCUCUGGUUGUGGAGGGAGCUGCUUCCCUAGCCUCGGGACUUUCUCACUAACUCUUCUUCUGACCUUCACGGCCUUGUUUUGGGAAAAGCCCAUCCUCAGCUUCACGGGAGAGGUUUCACCAGUGGUGCAGGAUGUAUAGGCAAAGGGCUCCGGGGCCAGAGGUGGGCUCUCAGUGCCCAACACCCUGGAUGGUGACAGGACUGGUCCUUGGCCACAGUCAUUAAGAGGCUGUUGGGCCUGGGAGCAGGGUGAGGAACCAACAGUAUUGUCUCCAUGGACACAGGGAUUCCAAGGAAUGGUUUCUUCCUUUAGGGGGCUGCUGAGGGGCUCAGCACCCACAAGGGACACAGGCCCAUGUUGCUUGAGGCUGUCCUUGGCAGCACCCCUACCUAGUUUCAGUCCUCCCCUGUCAGCUCCACAGGCCUGCUUCUCCAGCUGACAUGUGCUCUCCGACCUCUGGCCACAGGGCUUCGGUGGAAAAGCAGCUGUGUCACCUCCCUGCUCCUGCCCCACAUCUCUCAGGGGGAGCUCUUGGCCCCGCAGAUGCAACAGCCUGUGGAUGUAGGCUUCGGCUGAGCCCAGCUCACGGAUCGGCUCAGGUUGAGUCCUGUUCUCAUCAACAGGGACCAGAGGAGGCUCCUGGGGAGAUACUGGUCUGGGCCGGAACAUGCCCGUCAGCCGGCCUGUGCCCUCUGCACCAUGCAGGAGCCUGCUAUCUUCUGUGAGCUGUGGGCUCCAUGCAGGGACAGUGGUCUCAUCAGCAGAGCGUGGUCGCCAGUCCCCGAUGCCAGACCUGGACUUGGAGGGCUGGAACACAGGCAGCCAGCUACCCAGGGAGGGGGAUAGACGGUCGCUGCAAACAGAUGCGCAGGAGGUGGACAGAGAACAGGAACCAGCAUCGCUCAGCUCAUAGAAACCUGGGCAGAGCAGACGCGGCGGUUAGUGUAACCCCAGAGCUCUUUUCUCUUGCUUUUACUGACACAGGGAGGGGUAAGGAGCAGGUAAGAAUGCCUGUGGGGAUGGGCACAGAUUCUUGCUGGUAACCUUGGGAGUGGUUAUGGGAACAUCUGACCCAUAGCUAUACUCAGAAGGGGACCUCCGGUUGCUUUGGGUACUCUCUCCUUUC
rnacentral:lncRNA from 1 species